CAGAACCCUAAUUUCUUUUCUGCCUAAGCUUUCUAUCCCCUUCAUCUUUAGUUCUCAUCCUUUCCCAGAGGUAAUACUUACUUUUCCUUUUUCUUUAUUUUUCUUUCAUAUGAAAUGGUUAGAACCACCACCAGAGGAAGGGGCCGAGGCCAGAGCAACCAAGGCAACAUUCCCAGAGGUCCCAUCAAAGUCGGACCCCAAGGUCCCAAUGAUACCCUACCGCGUGCAAUGGCUCUAAUGUACGAUUGUAGUACUACCCAAAACGAAAUUCAUCGAUACUUAGGAGCCCGAGGUAUUCUGUAUUCCAACUUCGCUUAUGACUUCACGAAGAUGUGGUCUGAGCCAUGCAUAUUGCCCAUGUAAAUAUUCAAAAUUUCUUUCCUAUUAAUCUAGUUUGCUAGAUAUCAAAUAAUUUAGAGGAUGGUAUAAACUAUCUAAAGUUCGAGUUUGCUAGUCACAUGAUAUGUUAGGGCGAAUUUUAUCCUUUAGUUCCUUUAUUCUAUAUUCUUUAUUUUAAAUCAUAUUUUAUUUCUUUUGUUAAACCAAGUUCAAGUGUAACUCUUACGAGUUGGGUCCACAUCAUAUCUACUUUCAUUAAAGUUAAAAAUGCAAUCAAAUUGUCAUAUAUAAUUGCUUUUCUUCAUUUUUUUUUAUAUAUUCAGAAAGGAGCUGUUUGACGUAAAGUUUGGUUAUAUUUUUAAUUUAUCUAAUUACUGGCGUGGUUUCUUAUGGCAUCGAAAAGAUGAGAAGGACGACUAGGCUUUGGGCUUUUGCCUGUUGUACUCACCUUUCAAGCAAUCCUUUACUUCAGACACCACCUUGUACGACA
rnacentral:lncRNA from 1 species